UAAUUUAAAAAAUUAUAUGAAUACAUUCAUGGAAUAUAGCGAGACAGUGAAUACAAUGAAAUAUAUGGAAUACAGCGAGAUACUCUGAAAUACAAUUAAAAAAACAAUGAAUACAAUGAAAUACAUGAAAAUAUAGCGAGAUACAUUGAAAUGCACUUAAAAAGAGUAACAGAAUCUUCAAUUUGCUCAGCCCCAAACUCCGUCGUCUUUGUUCAAGAACACCCUAACGUGGUCUUCUCUCUACAAUCCAUGUCCGGUAAGCUUGGUCCUUCAUUUCUCCUCAAAUACUUCGAAGCUCUUAGAAUCUGUUUGUUUAAUUUUUAUAAUGCAUCUUAGGAUUCGCCUUCCUUGUUGACGUUGUUUUGAAGAAAAAAAUUCAGAUCAUAGUAAGCGUAUUAAGUUUGGAGUAUAGUAAUCAGAUCCAUUGACUUAUAUUUUAUCUAAUUUUCCUAAAUUAUUACCUUUUUGGUGCACUGACAGAGGGCUUGACUAAAAAUGUUGGGAGGUAGAGCAAUCCAUCGGUUGUUAUGCAGGAAAUUUCAAUCUGAAUCCUCGGUAUGGCUGUAUCAGUGUCGUCAAAAUCGCCAAAGUUAACGCUCUUGUGCGGCAAAAGACGUUUGAAAUCUACCGGAGAUGCAUACAGUAGAAAAAUCUGUAUGCACACCGGAGAAUCCAUGAGUUUGUAUGGAGAAAACUAGUAUUGAGAGAGAGUGAGGAAAAA
rnacentral:lncRNA from 1 species